GGUAAGGUGGCUGAGCAGUAGGCGAUAAACUGUAAAUUUAUUCACAGGUAUUUAACCUUCUUACCA
rnacentral:tRNA from 2 species